AGUUAUGUUGUGGCAUAGUGGUGUGAGUGUUGGACUAGGACUCUGGAGACCGGGGUUCAAUUCCCUGCUUGGCCA